rnacentral:rRNA from 1 species
UACGUAGGGUGCGAGCGUUGUCCGGAAUUAUUGGGCGUAAAGGGCUCGUAGGCGGUCUGUUGCGUCAGGAGUGAAAACUCGGGGCUUAACCCCGAGCCUGCUUCUGAUACGGGCAGACUAGAGGUAUGCAGGGGAGAACGGAAUUCCUGGUGUAGCGGUGAAAUGCGCAGAUAUCAGGAGGAACACCGAUUGCGAAGGCAGCUCGCUGGGACGUUACUGACGCUGAGACGCGAAAGCGUGGGGAGCAAACAGG